rnacentral:lncRNA from 1 species
UUUGAGAAGAAGGUUAUGAGAGGAGGAAAUUUCUCAAAAGAAUCAAUAGAAAGGUGGCGGAGGAGGUGAAGCGUAUGACACUCCAAUUACUGGUGGCAAUGGUCCCUCAUACACAGGAGCUGGAGGGGGUGACAGUGAUGGUGGUGGAGGUGAAUGGUAAAUAACUGGAGGUGGUGGUGGAGGUGAGGAAUAUGUUACAACGGGUGGCGGUGGUGAAGGUGAUGGGGGUGGCUUGUAAUGAAUUGGGGGAGGGGGCGAUGGGGAUGGUGGUGGUGGCGAGUACUCUACGCAUGGUGGUGGUGGCGGUGGAGGAGGUUCUAUACAUGGUGGAGGUGAAGGUGGUGGUGGAGAGUGAACCGGAGGAGGUGGGGAAUAAACAGGGGGUGGUGGCGGCGGCGGUGAUAAAUAUGGAUAAAUUGGAGGAGGGGAGUGUGGAGGCG